rnacentral:rRNA from 1 species
CAGUAGCCACGGUAAUACGUAGGGUGCAAGCGUUAAUCGGAAUUACCGGGCGUAAAGCGUGCGCAGGCGGUUCGUUAAGACAGAUGUGAAAUCCCCGGGCUCAACCUGGGAACUGCAUUUGUGACUGGCAAGCUAGAGUAUGGCAGAGGGGGGUGGAAUUCCGCGUGUAGCAGUGAAAUGCGUAGAUAUGCGGAGGAACACCGAUGGCGAAGGCAGCCCCCUGGGCCAAUACUGACGCUCAUGCACGAAAGCGUGGGGAGCAAACAGGAUUAGAUACCCGAGUAGUCCCUGUCUCUUAUAU